rnacentral:rRNA from 1 species
AGAGUUUGAUCCUGGCUCAGGAUGAACGCUGGCGGCGUGCUUAACACAUGCAAGUCGAGCGAUGAAGUUUCCUUCGGGAAACGGAUUAGCGGCGGACGGGUGAGUAACACGUGGGUAACCUGCCUCAUAGAGUGGAAUAGCCUUUCGAAAGGAAGAUUAAUACCGCAUAAUGUUUCGAGAUGGCAUCAUCAUGAAACCAAAGGAGCAAUCCGCUAUGAGAUGGACCCGCGGCGCAUUAGCUAGUUGGUGGGGUAAAGGCCUACCAAGGCGACGAUGCGUAGCCGACCUGAGAGGGUGAUCGGCCACAUUGGGACUGAGACACGGCCCAGACUCCUACGGGAGGCAGCAGUGGGGAAUAUUGCACAAUGGGGGAAACCCUGAUGCAGCAACGCCGCGUGAGUGAUGACGGCCUUCGGGUUGUAAAACUCUGUCUUUGGGGACGAUAAUGACGGUACCCAAGGAGGAAGCCACGGCUAACUACGUGCCAGCAGCCGCGGUAAUC